rnacentral:rRNA from 1 species
UACGAAGGGGGCUAGCGUUGUUCGGAAUUACUGGGCGUAAAGCGCGCGCAGGUGGUCUUUCAAGUCAGUGGUGAAAGCCCGGGAGCUCAACUCCGGAAAUGCCAUUGAAACUGUGAGACUUGAGGACGAGAGAGGUGAGUGGAAUUCCCAGUGUAGAGGUGAAAUUCGUAGAUAUUGGGAAGAACACCGGUGGCGAAGGCGGCUCACUGGCUCGUAUCUGACGCCCAGGCGCGACAGCGUGGGGAUCAAACAGG